UGCUCUCUGUUCUUUCACAUGCAUUCAAAUUAUGGCCUUGGAAUUGUUUGUUGUCAGUAUGAAGAACUUCCUUUGGAAUUCCAGUAAGGAUCUGCACAGGAACCCACGGGCCAGACAGCUUAAACGUUAAGCAGUUACACAGUCAUGAAGCCCUAUCAGCAACACUUUGAAGGAUGCAGUGUCAUCGCUCCCAGUUUACCAAUGAUGAACCAGUCUUAUGGGAAUUAUAUAACAUGCUCCAGGUCCCCAAGCCUCAUAUUUCUUCUCCAGUCACAUUCCUGGGAAGAUUGUUCCAGAGGGAGCUCACAUUUCUUCCUGAUUAAUGCACUGGUGCCAGGACCAUCCCGGAUGCCUCCUCCUUCACUCUUCAAUCAAAGUAUUUCUAUUUCUGACCAUCCUGACUUGCUUCAGAGGUGGGAAGGGCCCUCUUGGCCUAUCACACACAAAGAGUCUGCCCUUCGGUAAGUCAUUGAGCAUAUUUCUAACCUGUCCCCUAGCGGUAACCAAUUAAUGAACUUUUGCUGGCACACAGAAAUUGUUAUGAGACUGCAUCACAAUGAUGAGUGAAUUUUCAUUAGCAAUCCAAUUUGGAAAUGGAACUGCACAAUUCGUCCUUUAAAUAGAAUUCUCCAGAUAUUAAAUUUAGCCUCUUGAUUUCCAAACCAAAAAAAGAUUCUUGGUUUCAAAGAGAGUCCCCAGCGUCUAAGCAGUGUUUGAUGAAGCACAUUCUCGAACCACAACUGUUACUUGACAAAACCUUUGAAAUAGCAAUACCACUACUUUGCUAGCUCCUCCAUUGGCAUGACUCUUGGAAGCAACUCAGAGGCGCAAAGGCCACCUGGAGCUCCUCCUCUCUUGUAGGACACAGGGGAAGAGUUGCAUCCCCUCUGCCACUCUUCCUAUUUCCCGAGCUCGUGGGGCUUCACAGCCGUGAGCGUGAGACCGCACUAGUCGUUCUUGUUUUCGAAAUUGUGUUCAGUUCAAUUCUAAGCAAACACGAUCCUUCGAAUGGCUUAAAGGACACAUUCACUUUAGUUCAACUCCUAAAAUGAAUCUCCUUGUGAAACUAUGAAAUUCUGUGAUCUAUGAAAUCUGUGAAUUUUGCUAAACUUCGGUGAAGAUUUCACUCACAAAUAUUCUCUAAGCUAGCAGUAUCAAAAUUUCAAUGUUCAGGAAAAAAUAAGGAAGGGACUGCUUGUUAGAAAUAGAGAUUCCUGAGCCAAAGUGAGGCAGGGGAAUCUGCCUGUUUAUACAAUAAAUGCCGCAGUGGCUCUGAUGGACACCCAAGGGCCACACUUUGGGAAAUUCCCAAACUCGGCGCCGGGUCCUCAGUUUACCUGCACCGUUUGUUUUGUGUUAAGCACUGUGCAUGGCAAAGAGGCCCGGAGCCAGGGGGACCGGGUGUAAAUCUGACGCCAGCACGUAUUAUGCUAGUUUUAUGAACCUCAGGGGUUUUUUUUCCAAUUAAAUGAGGAUAAUCGUGCCUGAGUCACAGCGUUGCUGUGCGAGUGAACUGAAGCCAUGGGUGCUGCUCAGUGAGACGCAGAUCCAAGGGGCUGUGUAACGGUGAAGAAGGGAACAUCCUCACACUGUGGUGAAGGCAAGAGCAGGUACAAUGGGGAAAAUAAUAUCUACUUCUUAUUUAUCUUCUGGGAAUAAUGUAAAGGAUGUUUAGGACAUUGCUGGCUUUAGCAGGCCUUUCCAAUCUCAAUGAAUGAUGUCACCCUCUGUGCAUGGAGCCUGGCAGAAACUUGGGAGUUAUCCUACACUUCCCUGCCUGCCCUCGCCUUGUCUCCUGGCUAUUUAGCCUUCUAAACAUCUCAUCUUCACUGUUGCUGUUGUGGUCAUAGCCCUCUUUAACCCUUACCAAGACCAGACCUGUGCCCUUCUGAGCAGAAAUCUUCUGCUUGAACCUCCAGAAACACUCUCCACAUUUUCCUUCUGCUCAUGCCCAGGAGGCCAACCUGUAUCAUAUUUUGCCCUCUGGUUGCCAGUUGGGUUUGGCCAAUAGGAUCUGUCCUACUGGGAACUUGACUGAAACAUCUCCUAUCUGUCUUACUCUACCUUUAUCCUCUUCCAGUUGGGCCUUCAUGCUAUAGCCAGAGGAGUCUUUCACAACUGAAAUGUAUCUUGCCACCCCAUGACUCUAUAAUAACUUUGAGCAUCUGCCAGCUGAAGACCCAAACCCUUGAGAAGGAUUGAGACUCUGGCUCUCUCAUUUCCCAGCCUGUGUUUCUUUCAGCCCCCACCAUUCCUGUUCCUCAGGUGAAAUAAAUGUUUCAGUUUCUUAAAAGUUUCUCAACACAUAUCAUUGAAUGGGUACCUAGAGGCCAAGGGAGCACCAAUUUUAGGCUAAAUAAACUUUGAAGACUUAUCAUGAUUUUAAAAAAUGAAAUAAAGUAUAUCAGUUUAUAAUCAAGAAAAACAACUAUUGCACCUGAGCAGGAUACUAUUUACAUUAUUUAACAAAAUCAUAAAUAUCCAGUUUAACUAUGGAUAAUUUGAGUCAAAGGUCAAACCCCAAAUCAAUUGUUACUCUUUACCUUUGUUAAAUUGGAAGACAUUUCUAGAUAAUUGCAAAUGUCUGGUUCCGCCAGAAGUACUGACCUUUCAGUAAAAUACGGACCGGACGUUUGGAAAGAUUCUGUGCUAAGUCUGCUCUGACCCAGCCAGACUCAAAGACAAAAAGCAUUUCACCUUCACAGCUGGACACGGGAGUGCUUCGCUCCGGGAGAGAGCAGCAAGUGGGUUCUAAUCUACUCUGUGAUCAUAUUUCAUUUGGGGAAAUAUUUCUUCAUGUUCUCUUGCAAUGUUUUUAUACAUCAACUUAUUUCUCCCGUAAAUGAGGAAAAUUUCUGAUGUUUGGAAAAAAUUAAAAAUCUUGAUGAUUAAGCCAUGCAGACUUCUUAAGAAAUCCUUAGCCCUAAUUCUGAAAUUCUACAUGGUUCAGCCCUAAAGCAUUGGUUUCCAGCUACUCAAGAAACUGAAUAUGUAGCUAGAGCGACACCACUCAAGGAAAGCACUGGAAAUAAUAAGAUCACAUUUACUAGCAUUACGUACUAUGAAAAAAUGUUUUUCACUUUCAUCAUUUCAAAAAUCCAUGUGAGUACCUCAUCUUUGAGAGAACACUACUUUAGAGAACCAGACACGUGUCCCCACUGUCUGUAUCGUUCAGGGACAGUCAGAAAAGAGAAAUUCUGCUGGAUGUUGCAGUGCAAGGAUUUCUUUACAUGGAUGUGGCAGAGCUGGGAAGUCGAGCACUGCACAGUGAGGAAUCCCAAGACUGGCCACACAAGGAAACCAUUAUCACCACUGAACCAAGAGACACAAAGAUGUGGCAAUGCUACCAGAGCACAGACGCCAGAGUGCCUGGUAGGAGCCACAGCCACAGUGGGGCUGCCUCUUGCUGCAGGGGGAGACCAGUGAGAUGGAGAGGUUCUUGGGGUAUAGAGUCCCCACCAGAGGUCACACAGGAAACAGAGAGAAAGGAUGAGAAACACCCUAGCUUCUCCUUUCCUCCUGCCCUCCACUCUCCCACCAAUACCUUCCAUGGUCCAAACCAGCCCAGAAGCUGGUUGGCAAAGGAGCGUGGGAAAUGUAGUCCCCUAUAGUAAAGAACAGGGGACAAGUGAGGGUGGAGCAAACCAGGAGCUGGCAGGCUGCUCAUUUCUUCACAUGGUGCUCUGAAAAAACAUGUUUUCAUGGCUGGGUGACACAUAUGGGUAAUAUACAUAAUUUUCGCUAUUCUUUUAAACCAGAGUCAAAGUGAUUGUUACCAUUGACAACCAACAUUCUCUGUGAAUAAGUCAGCUUGCGGUUGCCCACUUCAAUAGAGACUGCUGUUUUCCGGGCCAUGCCCUUGCUUGUCGCUGAAGCAGCUGGAGCCCCCUCAGGACUGAUCCCAAGGUCCAGAAAUACUGGAAGGAAGGACUCUGGUUCAGGGGAGACGCUCUGGCCACCGGAAGCCUGACUCAUCCGGCUGCCUGUGAGGAGAAAGACCUGUGCAUCUCCUCAUAUUUUUGACAAACAAGAUGGGCUGGAAAGAGAACAAAGAGCCUGUGGGCUGGUGAUAAGGUGAACACUGUGGCAAGCUGCUCUAACCUGGGAAGGCCACACUUUCAUUCCUCACUCCUAGCAACGGAAGGAAGCUCUCACACGCCCUGAUGGGGCUGCUGUGAGGACCAUGGGAAUUGCCUUUUGAGAAAAGUUUCUAUCAAAUAGCUUCUCACAAUACUUCUCCGAUGAGGACAAAGUGUGGUACCAGCCUGGACCAGAUCGGGAAACAGAAGCAGGGGGCUGACAGCUGCAUUUACUCAGCACACUCAGGAGCCUGAAAGGGUAAUGUUUUUAAGUCUGUAAAAUUACGAAGGAAAAAUGAGGAACAUUAUUGUAACCAAUUUGUUUGAGUGCUCUUCUAGACAUUUUCCUAUGCAUUUACAUACAUUCACUUGGGGAAUUUUGGAGUUUAUUCAUUUG
ensembl:lncRNA